GUUAAAGUGGCAGAGACCGGUAAUUGCAUAAAACUUAAACCUUUAGAUUCGAAGGUUCGAUUCCUUCCUUUAACA
rnacentral:tRNA from 1 species